CAUCAAAUACAACGUAUAAUCAUCACUUCUCUACAGGUACUGUUUACUAACAAGGUGACAGCACCAACUAAUGGACUGGCAUACAUAAUACAGCGGGUUUUUUUUACAUUUUCGCAGAUAUGUGUAAACGUGAAUCAUUUUGAAAACGUUGUCAUGUAUAUGUGAAACUUUUUAAAAAUGCAAGGGAAAAACUUCUCGGUUUUUGACUACAACGUUGCUGUGUAAACAUAGCCUCAGUCCAGCAGUGAAAUGUGGUGUAUCAGCUUUCUUAUUUUGGAUAAACAAUCGGUUCCUUAAUUUGGAGCACUCGUUGAAGGAUGUAGAGUUUGACCAUGAAGUAUUUAUCAGCAUUCAGUCAGCUUUUUCCACCAUGAAUGAUUAGCAUUAGCAUCAGAUUUGGUUGCAAUGAUGUUUAAUUAAUCCCGCCAAAUGCUCUCAAACUAAAAUAAAGGGCCUUUAUUUGAGUUCAGAUGGAGAAAAGUGGAUUUCCUCACAGUCUAGUUUCCACUGGUCUGCCCCUGGUUCCUUCCCUCACAUUUUAAACAGGGUAAAGUUACUGUUUUUAUAAUUCACUCGCAUCUCUCUCUCAGAUAUGGCAGUGCUGAUGUACUUGUAGGUUUAGUAGUUUGUAGUAUUCUGGACAUUGUAGGUCCUUUUAGACGUUUUUUUAUGUUUUGUUUUUAUGAGUCUGGGUAGGGGGAAGUGUUGUUUUGAAGACUAUUUGGUUUUGAGUAUUACUGUAAACCCUAUUAGAGAAAAAAAACAUGACUGAGAUGCUAGCUGGUCCAGUUUUAACGAGUCAUCCGACGCCUUUGAGGUUUUGGUUACGAUUAAUUUCCUCGGUUGGUUUUUACCCAGGCAUCAGUGGAUGUGCUCGCUGUAACUUUCAUCAUUUCAGACAUUCCAAACACGUUCGAUAUGUGUCGUAAUGUUUACAUAUUUGCACCAGACAAUGACAAAGAGGCCUGUACCAAAGGCGCGUGUUCAGCCUGGUAACGGCCCGUCUCAAGUGCAGCUAAACCUCGGUGGCAACAUUUGGCGUUGUGUUGUUUGGUGGACACUUCACAUCUGUCUGUACGCCGCUUAAUCUUAAACAUUUUAUCCAUCCCACACCGCAUUCAUUUGUGUCCCUUCAUUUCUCGUUGUUUCAUUUUGUACUUCGUUUAUGGUGGUAGAUAUCGUGACUUUUCUUUUCUCGCGAGGGCUUGUUUUGGAGUGUAAGCUAGCUAAAUGUCAGACUAAACUCUUGAUAUGGUGGAGGUCUUAGUCUGCGAUAUUGCCACAUCAGAAUAAACUUGAAGGUGGAGAUUUAUCGCAAACCAAGCUGCUAUAAACACCAGCCCUUCUGAAUUGAGUUUCUCAGACCAGCAUCUCUGGAAGAAACUCAGGAAUAUCCCUCUAUUUUGAACAGUUUUGUUAAUCUGGCUUUCUGGGGAAGCUUUUUGAUUUCUUUAAAAGAGCCACACUCCUCAUCUAGGUCUUUUUGUUUUCUGUCGUUCCUUCAUAUUUUACAGUGUGUCCUCGUUUGAUUUUUUUUUAUGCAUUUUUCAUUGAAACUACCUCUUUUGUGUGUCAUCAUGUAGCGUGCUUUCAUUAAGGAAAAGUAUUAAUCGUUAUUUAUUGGUUUCAAAGCACCAGUGACCCUGUUUCUUUGUCCGUUUCAUAAACCAUUCUGGAAACUUCAGAGUUAAUAGUUUUCAUCAUUCGUAUUCCAUCAUUGUCUUAAAAUAUGUGCUCAAAUCAUGCCUGAUAGACAUUAGAUGCUGCAUAUUUACCUCACUCUUCAAUGAAGACCAUUUCUCAGUGCAAUUAUAACGUGUGAAAUGAACAGUAUUAUAUUCCUAGUUGUAAACACUGUUUGUGAAUUGUUUUCAUGAAGAAUGUAUUUUUUGCCUAUAUCAUUUUUGUUUUUAUUUCUCAACUGUAAUCAUGUUAAUGCUUUGACACUUUUCAGCCAAUCAGAUUUCUUUCUUGAUUGUUACGGGUAUGCUGAUUGGCUAUUGAAAGACUAUCAAAGUGCUGUCAGUUUUACAUAGCCAGGGAACUUAUUUCAGUCUCUUUGGGAUUCUUCUUGAUCCAGUGGGAAUCUUAUUAGAUGAAACAUUGGUGAAUGUUGGGGCUUGAGCAAACCAUACAGAGCCAGACGAGAGGUUUUGAAACAUGGGUGAUAUCUCAGGGAAUAGACACGCUCCUGAAAACCUCAAAACAACUCUAGUACACGCUAAAUGAACUCCUGUUUGUUUGUAUUUGUCUUUGUAUUGGCAUCUGACGUGUUGUUUUUGGGAGUGUUGUCUGAGGUGCUUUUCCUAACCCGUGUCACAAACCUCUUCUUCUGCUCCUCUGACUUUUACUACCUGUGAAGAAUGUGAUCGAUAGAAGCAUGUUUAGAAUGUUUUAGGACUUGAAACCAAAUAAAUGUGAAUCUUAUGCAACUGUGAAA